rnacentral:rRNA from 1 species
CGGAGGAAAAGAAACUAACAAGGAUUCCCCUAGUAACGGCGAGUGAAGAGGGAAGAGCCCAAGAUUGAAAGCUGGCGUCUUCGGCGUCCGCAUUGUAAUCUCAAGAAGUGUUUUCCGCUUCGGACCAAGCCUAAGUCCCCUGGAAAGGGGCAUCAUAGAGGGUGAUAAUCCCGUACAUGGCUUGGAGCGCCCGUAGCUUUGUGAUACACUUUCUAAGAGUCGAGUUGUUUGGGAAUGCAGCUCAAAAUGGGUGGUAAAUGCCAUCUAAGGCUAAAUAUUGGGGAGAGACCGAUAGCGAACAAGUACAGUGAUGGAAAGAUGAAAAGAACUUUGAAAAGAGAGUUAAACAGUACGUGAAAUUGCCAAAAGGGAAGGGUAGGAGGUCAGAGAUGCGGCCUAGGAUUCAGCCUUGCUUUUGCUUGGUGUUUUUCCUAGAUUGCAGGCCAACGUCGGUUUUGGGCACUGGAGAAGGGUGGAAGGAACGUGGCACCUCUCGGGGUGUGUUAUAGCCUUCUACUGGAUACAGCGACCGAGACCGAGGACAGCAGCGUACUCGCAAGAGCGGGCCUUCGGGCACCUU